AACCUUAUAACCUUAACGGCCACCGUUUAACCUUAUAACCACCAUUAAGUAAACAACCUUAUAUUAGUAAACAAUCUUAUAACCUUAACGGCACCAUUUAACCUUAUAACCACCGUUAACAACCUUAUAUUAGUAAACAACCUUAUAACCUUAUAACCUUAACGACCACCGUUUAACCUUAUAACCUUAUAUUAGUAAACAACUUUAUUACCUUAUAACCUUAAUAUCUGCCAAAUAUCUCAUAUCGUAGAAUGUAGAUCAUUAUAAAUCACAAUAAU
rnacentral:lncRNA from 1 species